rnacentral:lncRNA from 1 species
AGUUUCGCUGUGGUCACCCAGGCUGGAGUGCGAUGGCGCGAUCUCGGCUCACUGCAACCUCCGCCUCCCAGGUUCAAGUGAUUCUCCUGCCUCAGCCUCCUGAAGUAGCUGGGAUUACAGGUACCCGACACCAGGCCCAGCUAAUUUUUUUGUAUUUUUAGUAGAGACAGGGUUUCACCAUGUUGGCCAGGCUGGUCUUGAAGUCCUGACCUCAGGUGAUCCACCCGCCUUGGCCUCCCAUAGUGCUGGGAUUACAGGCAUGAGCCACCGUGCCAAGCUGGGGAGCUGCAUUUUUUAAAUAUUCCAGAGGAUAAGAGUUUAAAGUGCUUUAUAAUAAGCCAAAUCCCUUUUCAACUCAACAUUCUACUUACUGAAUCACAGGAUCAUAAGAUAUUUUAAAAUUAUCUUCAUGGUAAAUGAUCACAUAGGAAUGAGAUAACUUGAUUCUUUUCAUGAGAAUUAGAAACCAAACUCUUUGCACAAUUCAGUCAUGCUUAGAUAUUGAGCACAUACAUUUUUUAAUUUUAAUGUUUCCUACAUAACACAAUCAUGUAACUUCAGCUAAAUGUUAUUUUCUAAGACAACAGAUAACAAAAUACAGCAGAUCUUCAAACAACACCAUUUCAUUCAACAUCAUUUCAUUGCAAUGUUCACAAGAAAAAAAAAUCGAUUCUUGGAGGGGGCCAAUGUCUGUUGGAGUUCACAUGUCCUUGUGUCUGCGUGGGUAUCUCAGGCCUGGAUCCCCCUGUGCUCCCUGAGCUGCCGGGAUAGGUUCCAGCCACCCUCACACCUGAACUGGAAUAAAUGGGUAUGACACACAGAUGUCUAAGCAACUGCCUUCCAGCAGUGAUUGAUUUUGCUGGUUCCCCACACAAAAAGUUUGGAAGAGACCCUUAUGUCUUCUGUAGAGUUUCUUGGUUGUAAGCAGCAAGCACUGGUGCUGGCUAACUUAAGCAAAUAAAGAAUAUAUCACUCAGACAUCAAAGAAACAGCUGGAAAUCUGGCUUGGCAAAGGCCGGAUUAGGGCACUCCUGGGGAUGUGGGUAGUAGGAAUAGUCUAUAGUUUUUCCUCAGUGCCAACACUGGGAAAGAAUAUGUUCCAAUUAUUUUCAUUUUCCUAUCCUUUUGUCUUUCUUCAGAAGAAGCAAAGUUGAGAGAUAGUCUUUCAUAGCUUUUCCCAUAAGGUAUGUUCUCCUUGGGCAACAUUUUCAACUCAACCUUUAGCCCUUAGCUUGCUUUUUCUUUUUUUUUUUCUUUAUUUUUUUUAUUUUUGAGACGAGGGUCUUGCUCUGUCACCCAGGCUAGAGUACAGUGGCAUGAUCAUGGCUCACUGCAGCCUCAACCUCUCAGGCUCAAGCAGUUCUCCCACCUCAGCCUCCCAAGUAGCUGGGACUACUGGCGCGAGCCACCAUGCCCAGCUAACUUUUGUUUAUUUUUUAUAGAGACAGGGUCACACUAUGUUGCCCAGGGUGGUCUCAAACUCUGGUUUGAGCAAUCUGCCCACCUUGGCCUCCCAAAGUGCUGGGAUUACAGGCAUGAACCACCUCACCUGGCCUUUCUUUAUUCAUCAUGAAUAUACCCUGCUUAGCCUGGUCAACAUGGAGAAACUCUGUCUCUACAAAACAAAAAUUAGCCAGGCAUGGUGGUGUGGCCUGUAGUCCCAGCUACUGAGGAGGCUGAGGUGGGAGGAUCACUUGAACCUGGCAGGUGGAGGCUGCAGUGAACUGAGAUCACAUCACUGCACUUCAGCCUGGGAGACAGAGACCCUGCCUCAAAAAACAAACAAACAAACAAACAAAAAAGAAUAUAUUCCGCUUUUCUAUCCCUAAUUGUCUGCUCAAGCAGUGUGCCUGACAGUCACAUGACCCCUUCUAGGAAGCCUUGGAAAGUCUGCCCUGCCUAUUGCCCCUUUUUGAGGACUUCAUUAUGCAACCUACAAUUCUUGGCUCAGCUGAAGGAGCAAGAGCAGGGCCUCCUAAAUGGCACCUUUCUAUUAGGCUUACCAAAGGCCUGGUAUAUGUGCUUUGCCCAACAGGAAAUCUCUAUACUGAGUAGCAUUGAACCAUCUAGAUUUCUCUCUUGGGUAGGUUUAACCGUGACGCAUGCAAAGGACAGUCCUUAGUCAAGGUAGAUGCAGAAAGGCUCACAGAGGGAAGUGAGAGCAGAGAGUAAGCAGAAGCCAUGGGACAGCCUAAAGGAGAAUACAGAAAAGAUGACCAGGAGCGGCAGAAGCAAGAGCAGAGAGAGAAUGAUUGAGACCCCAGAGUGCGGAAACACUAGGGUAGGGAGCAAAGGAUGGCGCCCCCUGCUGAGAGGUCCAGAAUGGUGGGCUGCAGUUAAAUCUUCAACAACCUUCUGCAGCAGCGUGAUGUCUCUGCUUUUAUGUCUCUGUAUUGUUGCAAUAAAUUCUUACUCUUUAUCUGAUGUAACCUGAGUGUUUUUCUAUUCCUUGAGCCCAGAAAGAGCCUAAUACACCAUUACUACCCCCUUUCCUGUUCUCAUCUCUCCCAUUUUAAUCUGUAACCAACAACCUUGUGGAUACCUCCUUUCCUUUCAACAGCCAUCUCUUCAGGGUCUCAUGUUGUUCUUCGCUCUUCUGACUCUUCUGAAAUACAUCUCUUUUCCAGAUACCUACUAACCACCGCUAUCUAUAUCUCAGUCACCUGUCAGCACCUAAUACAGGUCAAAGGCCCCAUUCUCAAUGAGUUACAAUAGAAGGUGAUUUUACUUUAUUCACUGAAGUCACAAAGAUCAAGGGUGGGAACUUCAUGGGCCGGCAGUCUCUGGGCCUAAAUUGGAAGUAUGAACCAAAUCACUGACUCCUGGUGUUAGAUUUGUUAGAGUCCUCAGAAAUAAUCUAGUUCAACCUCAAGCCUAAAGCCAGACUGUCCUCAAUCACAUUAGGAAGAAGUUUUCCCACCCCUGUCUGUGGCUGGGAACUUUCCAGACAGGCAGGUCACUACUUCACAGUGCAGCCCAACCAUUUGUUUUCCAACAUUAAGAAUGCGGGGCCAGGCAUGGUGGCUCACGCCUAUAAUUCCAGCACUUUGCGAGGUCCAGGCGGGCAGAUCGUUUGAGCCCAGGAGCUCAAGACAAGCCUGGGCAACAUGACAAAACCUUGUCUCUACCAAAAAAAAAAAAAAAAAAAAAAAAAAGGCUGGGCAUGGUGGCACACACCUGUAGUCUGAGACUGAGACCGGAGGAUCACCGGAGCCCAGAAGGUCGAGGCUGCAGUGAGCCAUGAUCGUGCCACUGCACUCCAGCACUGGCAACAGAGUUAGAGGCUGUCUCAAAAAAAACAAAAAUGUUUGAAGACAACAGUCAUGAGCUACCUUGAUAUUUCUUUUCCAGGCUUACAUUCCCCCAUGUCUCAACCCAUCUUCAUGCUCCAACUAGUCAUGGUAGUCUAACACAGUUAGACUAACACAGAAUUAAACAAAUCACAACUUUUUCUGUGAAGCCAAAGAGGGUAGGAAAGUCUUAUCUUAGUAAGUCCUAUUAUAAUAUCAAUUUUUCUAAACCUAUGGCCUUUUUUCCAUACAUGUCAUCUCUGACCUCUCCACUGCUGUCUGGUGGUAGCUAAUUUUUCUCACUUAAUAGAGACCAGGGGGAAGGAGGUGGUGGAGUUAGAUUGGAGAAAGAAAGCAGGGAGUGCAGCAAAGAAGUUAUACAUUUAUAUACAAAUUCCUGGCCUCAUGAAGUUUAUAAUCUAAUUUGGUAGGCAAAGUAUACAAUUAAAACUCAUAAAAAAGACA